rnacentral:rRNA from 1 species
UAUAGAUGGAUCCGCGCUGCAUUAGCUAGUUGGUAAGGUAACGGCUUACCAAGGCAACGAUGCAUAGCCGACCUGAGAGGGUGAUCGGCCACACUGGAACUGAGACACGGUCCAGACUCCUACGGGAGGCAGCAGUAGGGAAUCUUCCGCAAUGGGCGAAAGCCUGACGGAGCAACGCCGCGUGAGUGAUGAAGGUCUUCGGAUCGUAAAACUCUGUUAUUAGGGAAGAACAUAUGUGUAAGUAACUGUGCACAUCUUGACGGUACCUAAUCAGAAAGCCACGGCUAACUACGUGCCAGCAGCCGCGGUAAUACGUAGGUGGCAAGCGUUAUCCGGAAUUAUUGGGCGUAAAGCGCGCGUAGGCGGU